AUUGAACGCUGGCGGCAGGCCUAACACAUGCAAGUCGAACGAUUGGCGGACGGGUGAGUAAUGUCUGGGAAACUGCCUGAUGGAGGGGGAUAACUACUGGAAACGGUAGCUCAUACCGCAUACCAUCGGAUGUGCCCAUAUGUGAUUAGCUAGUAGGUGGGGGAAAGGCUCACCUAGGCGACGAUCCCUAGCUGGUCUGAGGGGAUGACCAGCCAAACUGGAACUGAGACACGGUCCAGAAUAAUACGGGAGGCAGCAGGGGGGAAAAUUGCACAAUGGGCGCAAGCCUGAUGCAGCCAUGACGCGUGUAUGAAGAAGGCCUUCGGGUUGUAAAGUACUUUCAGCGAGGAGGCGUUACACGCAGAAGAAGCACCGGCUAACUCCGUGCCAGCAGCCGCGGUAAUUC
rnacentral:rRNA from 1 species